GUCUUCGUGGCUCAGUUGGUUAGAGCGUUGGUCUCAUACAUCGGUAUGAUUAGAUUGCAAACAGUCUGGCCAUCCAAAGGUCGUGAGUUCGAGUCUCACCGAGGACA